rnacentral:rRNA from 1 species
UACGUAGGUGGCAAGCGUUGUUCGGAUUUACUGGGCGUAAAGGGCGCGUAGGCGGCUUGUCAAGUCACUUGUGAAAUCUCUGGGCUUAACCCAGAACGGCCAAGUGAAACUGACAUGCUAGAGUGCAGAAGGGGCAAUCGGAAUUCUUGGUGUAGCGGUGAAAUGCGUAGAUAUCAAGAGGAACACCUGAGGUGAAGACGGGUUGCUGGGCUGACACUGACGCUGUGGCGCGAAAGCCAGGGGAGCAAACGGG